GGACAUUAAAGAGGAAGUGUUUGUCCGAGCUCACAGCAAGGGAACGAUAAUAUCUUUGAGAGGGAAUGCAAAUAUCUUUGUGUGGGAACGCAAAAGAUUUUAGAAAAAAUUUUGUCCUCCCAUCACAUUUUUUUUCCAACACCACAUCCCUUUAGGGGCUCCGUACAUUUCAGUGUAUACGGACCAAAAUGGAGACUUUUGAAAACGAUGGCGUGGCUGCCCACGUUCGCUCUGCAUAUCCUUGAUGACCGUGUAAACAAUAACAUGGAGACUGAACUGCAAUCUUUGCUGGGAUUGUUGUCAUUUUAGCAGCCAUUGUGCAGUUAAACUGCAUUUUUUUUUAAUACUUCAGCUACCUACAUGCACAAGAGACAACUGUUUACACUACGCGCAUACCCAGUGGUGCAUGAAUGGUCAUGCGAAAUGCGUUUUCAGUCGUGUAGUAUAGACGGAGAUCGUUUCUGAAACCCUACGUAGACGUGGAUCAUUUUCAUUUUAAAACGCUGAAACAGAACGCACAUUUUGGAUGUAGCAUUGUUUUUCUGAGAAACAAGUACGGGACCUUUUUUCCCAUCAAAAAAGAACAAGCUGGAAAUUAUACAGAUAUAAUGUAACUCAAAUUCAAACACGCUUUUGCUAGAAAAUGACAAUGCUGAUAAGAUAUAAAAAUGAGGAUAACAAUGACUGAAAACAUGACUGUGUAAAGUAUAUAGAUAAAUGGAAUAUUUUGUUUUUUCAGUGUGUUUAUUCAGUGAAGAAUGUAUUAUACUGAUUCAAACUGGUACAGUAACUGAGUUUAAAAGAACCGACUCAUUUGUUUGCGAAUUGGAUUAUUAUUUUAUACCCGCAUCCCAUGAGGACGCUGCCGCUGAAAAGCAGAGCAGGAAAUGUAAUAUGUAAGAAGAAAUAUUUUACAGGCUGUGCUGUGAAUUGUGUGUAUCGGACAAUGACAGUAGAAUUCAGUAGAAUUCAAAGCGACCACUUUGGGACUGUUGAGGACUGGGACUGUCAGAAGAAUCCAACAUCCACCAGCGCUAAUGACAGCCAAAACACAGACCCGCUCAUUUAUAUCAAAAAAGCGAAAAUAAUGAUGCCGCACUGAGGGGUCACAUCUGCAGUCGGAGGAGGGAGAUCUACAGUUAAGAUUAGUUCAGGAGACUCAGAUCAUGAACAUACAGCCUGAGUCGUCCACUUUUGCAGACCAGAAGCAAGCGGAUGUUCUACACAUCUCCAAAGCCUCUAUCCAACACUGCUUCCUUUAAUUUAAAUUGUGUCAUUAUUUACAUACCCUCAUGUUGUUUCAAACUUGAAUGCCAUUAUUUUUUUCUGUUAUUUUAAAGGAUUUUCAUAGCAAC